AUCAAUAAGCGGAGGAAAAGAAACCAACAGGGAUUGCCUUAGUAACGGCGAGUGAAGCGGCAACAGCUCAAAUUUGAAAUCUGGCCCUUGGGUCCGAAUUGUAAUUUGUAGAGGAUGAUUUUGGUGCGGUAUCUUCCGAGUUCCUUGGAACAGGACGCCUUAGAGGGUGAGAGCCCCGUACGGUUGAAUGCCUAGCCUCUGUAAAUCUCCUUCGACGAGUCGAGUAGUUUGGGAAUGCUGCUCUAAAUGGGAGGUAAAUUUCUUCUAAAGCUAAAUAUUGGCCAGAGACCGAUAGCGCACAAGUAGAGUGAUCGAAAGAUGAAAAGCACUUUGAAAAGAGGGUUAAAUAGCACGUGAAAUUGUUGAAAGGGAAGGAUUUGUGACCAGACUUUUUCUGGGCGGAUCAUCCGGGGUUCUCUCCGGUGCACUUUGCCCAGUAAAGGCCAGCAUCGGUUUUCGGCGGGGGAUAAAAGCAGUAGGAAUGUGGCUCCCUACGGGGAGUGUUAUAGCCUGUUGUAUAAUACCCUGCUGGGGACCGAGGUACGCGCUUCUGCAAGGAUGCUGGCGUAAUGGUUAUCAAUCACCCGUCUUGAAACACGGACCAAGGAGUCGAACAUUUGUGCGAGUGUUUGGGUGUUAAACCCUCACGCGUAAUGAAAGUGAACGGAGGUGAGAGCCCUUACGGGUGCAUCAUCGACCGAUCCUGAAGUUUUCGGAUGGAUUUGAGUAAGAGCAUAACUGUUCGGACCCGAAAGAUGGUGAACUAUGCGUGGAUAGGGUGAAGCCAGAGGAAACUCUGGUGGAGGCUCGCAGCGGUUCUGACGUGCAAAUCGAUCGUCAAAUCUGCGCAUGGGGGCGAAAGACUAAUCGAACCAUCUAGUAGCUGGUUACCGCCGAAGU
rnacentral:rRNA from 1 species